GGUUAAGCGACUAAGCGUACACGGUGGAUGCCCUGGCAGUCAGAGGCGAUGAAGGGCGUGCUAAUCUGCGAUAAGCGCCGGUAAGGUGAUAUGAACCGUUAUAACCGGCGAUACCCGAAUGGGGAAACCCAGUGUGACUCGUCACACUAUCAUUAACUGAAUCCAUAGGUUAAUGAGGCGAACCGGGGGAACUGAAACAUCUAAGUACCCCGAGGAAAAGAAAUCAACCGAGAUUCCCCCAGUAGCGGCGAGCGAACGGGGAGGAGCCCAGAGCCUGAAUCAGCAUGUGUGUUAGUGGAAGCGUCUGGAAAGGCGCGCGAUACAGGGUGACAGCCCCGUACACAAAAGCGCAUGUGCUGUGAGCUCGAUGAGUAGGGCGGGACACGUGGUAUCCUGUCUGAAUAUGGGGGGACCAUCCUCCAAGGCUAAAUACUCCUGACUGACCGAUAGUGAACCAGUACCGUGAGGGAAAGGCGAAAAGAACCCCGGCGAGGGGAGUGAAAAAGAACCUGAAACCGUGUACGUACAAGCAGUGGGAGCACCCUUUGGGUGUGACUGCGUACCUUUUGUAUAAUGGGUCAGCGACUUAUAUUCUGUAGCAAGGUUAACCGAAUAGGGGAGCCGGAGGGAAACCGAGUCUUAAUUGGGCGUUAAGUUGCAGGGUAUAGACCCGAAACCCGGUGAUCUAGCCAUGGGCAGGUUGAAGGUUGGGUAACACUAACUGGAGGACCGAACCGACUAAUGUUGAAAAAUUAGCGGAUGACCUGUGGCUGGGGGUGAAAGGCCAAUCAAACCGGGAGAUAGCUGGUUCUCCCCGAAAGCUAUUUAGGUAGCGCCUCGUGAAUUCAUCUCCGGGGGUAGAGCACUGUUUCGGCUAGGGGGCCAUCCCGGCUUACCAACCCGAUGCAAACUGCGAAUACCGGAGAAUGUUAUCACGGGAGACACACGGCGGGUGCUAACGUCCGUCGUGAAGAGGGAAACAACCCAGACCGCCAGCUAAGGUCCCAAAGUCAUGGUUAAGUGGGAAACGAUGUGGGAAGGCCCAGACAGCCAGGAUGUUGGCUUAGAAGCAGCCAUCAUUUAAAGAAAGCGUAAUAGCUCACUGGUCGAGUCGGCCUGCGCGGAAGAUGUAACGGGGCUAAACCAUGCACCGAAGCUGCGGCAGCGACACUGUGUGUUGUUGGGUAGGGGAGCGUUCUGUAAGCCUGUGAAGGUGUGUCGUGAGGCAUGCUGGAGGUAUCAGAAGUGCGAAUGCUGACAUAAGUAACGAUAAAGCGGGUGAAAAGCCCGCUCGCCGGAAGACCAAGGGUUCCUGUCCAACGUUAAUCGGGGCAGGGUGAGUCGACCCCUAAGGCGAGGCCGAAAGGCGUAGUCGAUGGGAAACGGGUUAAUAUUCCCGUACUUGGUGUUACUGCGAAGGGGGGACGGAGAAGGCUAUGUUGGCCGGGCGACGGUUGUCCCGGUUUAAGCGUGUAGGUGUGUGUUCCAGGUAAAUCCGGUUCACUUUAACACUGAGGCGUGACGACGAGGCACUACGGUGCUGAAGCAACAAAUGCCCUGCUUCCAGGAAAAGCCUCUAAGCAUCAGGUAACAUCAAAUCGUACCCCAAACCGACACAGGUGGUCAGGUAGAGAAUACCAAGGCGCUUGAGAGAACUCGGGUGAAGGAACUAGGCAAAAUGGUGCCGUAACUUCGGGAGAAGGCACGCUGACACGUAGGUGAAGUGAUUUACUCAUGGAGCUGAAGUCAGUCGAAGAUACCAGCUGGCUGCAACUGUUUAUUAAAAACACAGCACUGUGCAAACACGAAAGUGGACGUAUACGGUGUGACGCCUGCCCGGUGCCGGAAGGUUAAUUGAUGGGGUCAGCGCAAGCGAAGCUCCUGAUCGAAGCCCCGGUAAACGGCGGCCGUAACUAUAACGGUCCUAAGGUAGCGAAAUUCCUUGUCGGGUAAGUUCCGACCUGCACGAAUGGCGUAAUGAUGGCCAGGCUGUCUCCACCCGAGACUCAGUGAAAUUGAACUCGCUGUGAAGAUGCAGUGUACCCGCGGCAAGACGGAAAGACCCCGUGAACCUUUACUAUAGCUUGACACUGAACAUUGAGCCUUGAUGUGUAGGAUAGGUGGGAGGCUUUGAAGUGUGGACGCCAGUCUGCAUGGAGCCGACCUUGAAAUACCACCCUUUAAUGUUUGAUGUUCUAACGUGGACCCGUUACCCGGGUUGCGGACAGUGUCUGGUGGGUAGUUUGACUGGGGCGGUCUCCUCCUAAAGAGUAACGGAGGAGCACGAAGGUUGGCUAAUCCUGGUCGGACAUCAGGAGGUUAGUGCAAUGGCAUAAGCCAGCUUGACUGCGAGCGUGACGGCGCGAGCAGGUGCGAAAGCAGGUCAUAGUGAUCCGGUGGUUCUGAAUGGAAGGGCCAUCGCUCAACGGAUAAAAGGUACUCCGGGGAUAACAGGCUGAUACCGCCCAAGAGUUCAUAUCGACGGCGGUGUUUGGCACCUCGAUGUCGGCUCAUCACAUCCUGGGGCUGAAGUAGGUCCCAAGGGUAUGGCUGUUCGCCAUUUAAAGUGGUACGCGAGCUGGGUUUAGAACGUCGUGAGACAGUUCGGUCCCUAUCUGCCGUGGGCGCUGGAGAACUGAGGGGGGCUGCUCCUAGUACGAGAGGACCGGAGUGGACGCAUCACUGGUGUUCGGGUUGUCAUGCCAAUGGCACUGCCCGGUAGCUAAAUGCGGAAGAGAUAAGUGCUGAAAGCAUCUAAGCACGAAACUUGCCCCGAGAUGAGUUCUCCCUGAGACUUAAAGUCUCCUGAAGGAACGUUGAAGACGACGACGUUGAUAGGCCGGGUGUGUAAGCGCAGCGAUGCGUUGAGCUAACCGGUACUAAUGAACCGUGAGGCUUAACCUU
rnacentral:rRNA from 1 species